rnacentral:rRNA from 1 species
GGUCACUGAACCGUGAUCAAGCCGUUGCAACGCACCAGCCCCGACAUCGGAGAGAGAGCGGGUAGGUAGGGGUAUUUUAUUUGAUCCGUCUGAGGGGCAAGCCGGGACGGAGACGGAGAGAGAGAGAAAGAAAGUCUAGAGCGGGUAGGUAUUUUAUUUGAUCCGUAGCGUUGGUACGGUAGAGAUGGUGCUAAGUUAGGAUGGUCCACGCGGCGCGGCUAGAGGCAGAUUGCCUUGCCUAGGUCGGCUCCUGGACAAGAACUCGUAGCUCCCCUAAAACCGGACGCCGCGCUGAAUCCGGGAGGCGAGACCCCCGCCUGCCUCGAUAUCACGUUUUAGAUCCUCGGCACCGGAAUUAGAGGGAGGUGGGUACACACGUUCCAACUCGUUCCGGAUUUCCUUAAGCUGCGGAAGAUUUAGUCCGGUGCCUCUAAGUGCGGUACACACGACUAAAACAGUACCUAGAACCGCGACGUUUCAGGCUGAUGGUGUAUCCUAGAAAACUACCGGAAAAGUGGCAGCUUUAUGCGGUGUCUCCUAAAAAAAAACCUUCACUGACGUUGUACUGAAUAUACCUGAUACUUCACCUGGCCAAACUAUUAACACUAUCACUGUGAACCAGUCAUGACACCUAACUACUAAAAGAGUUCGUUGAUCCAAUACUGUCUAGGCACCUGUUCGUACUACAGAUAACCACGGUCGGACCUUUCAGUCAUCGGCUACCUGACUUUCUCUAAUUCACACUACGUCUAUAGAACAAUUACUAAAGUCGUUGUUGAUUCGUAUUUUUAAGAGAUAACUAAUAACUGGUACCACUAUGAACCGUUUGAGACUGGUGUCUACUACACGACGAUCUACCUCGAUGACUCGACGGAUCUUAAUAUUGGGGUAGUUUUCAAUCGUUCCCUUUUCUUUGACGUACCAGAAGUCUUUUAGGAUUAUCAGGUUUUGUCUUCUCUCUCUUCUCUCAAUCCUCCAGGUACAUGAAACCACUUCCUAGGUCAAGUCCACAACCAGUACAACAACUUCUUUACCUUCCUCCUCUCUCAUCUCUCCGUCUCCCUGUUCUCCUAUUAACACUACUUCUUUGCCUACUCCUCAAGAUACUAUCACUAAAACUACGUCUUCUACCACUACUACUAAACAAACUGUUCUAACACCUGUUUCUUCAACUACUAGUAUCUCUUUCACUCAAGUAUGGAGAGGAAUAUGUAGGAUGAAUGAUCGAAGAAGAGGUCAGGCACGGAGAGGAAGAGUAGUUGGAAGAACCGGAGGAAGAGGAACUAAUUUAAGAGGUCCUAGUUUAAGAACGAUCGACUGAGUGGUUAUUUAAGGGUACCAAACAGGUGGGUGAGGUGUAUGAUCGCUUGGGACUUUAGGAAACGUUUUAGAGUACCCGUUUUUGUAAAGUGAUACUUGAUCAAUUCGUUGUUGUUCUUUACUGGUCACUCGUCGUUGUCUGGAGUAUAACUGUGGGGGUUUUACGUUAAUAGGUCGUUGUCUGGAGUAUAACGUGAGUGGGUUUUAGUUUUAGGCCCUCGAGAAGUAGGAUUUUUCCCUUAUGAAGGGGUAAGUAAAUGUCCCGUGGUUGCUCUCACUCUCUUUAUUUCCCCAACUCGUGGUCGCCCCUAAAAAACCCCCCAACAUGAUGUGGAGGCUGCUCUAAAACAUGGUACCGAGCGGCCGCGGACGGUAGAGACGAACCCUCCAGACUGACGUGGAGGAGGUGUAACGCGAUCGGCUGCGGCUGCGGCGGGUGGAGGAGGUAGGAGAAGAGAGUUCCCGAAGCACCGGGACAAGUCCGUGGUCCGGUAUCAGCGGCGUUUCGGCGGCAGCCGUCUUCACACACUAACCCCCAAGACGUUCCCAAUCCCUAACGUCCACACGUGCUAAGUACUAGAGUGAAGGUGAAGCAUGGCGAAGGUUGGCGACGGUGACCCGGGGCGCUCAGUCCUAUGCCGCAGUGGAUACAAAACUUGGCAUGUACGAGCGUCUUUAUUCAAGAUAUCGACGUUCUACCUCCUCUUGUCAAGACAGUCACUCGUAUAUGAGUUUUACAGACCCAUAUUAUUAGUGAACUAAGUCUACCCUCAAUUAGAAGGCCUACUAACGCAGUAACUGUCUUAAGAGGUUAGUGACGGUGGUUCGAUGUUCUCGAAGCACUACUUGAUAUUAUACGUUCCCUACUUGUUCUGAUAAGGGCUCGAGAAGCGUUACGACUUUCGACGCCUCCAUCUUUAGUUCUUCCUCGUAGUUCACAACUACCAGUUGUUCUGGUGAUCAAAGUUCUUUUUCCCGUUUCCCUUCUUCUUCCCCUUGAAGUUCUUCUUGUCGUUCGUUCAACGACGAGUCCUCCUCUUCGGGUUCAAACCUGGAUUCGGACUUUGACUCACGAAGAUGACGUUCGUCUGACCAGUGACCUUCGCCUUGACGGGGUUCAUAAACCGCCUAUUCUUCCUACCGUUCCACUUGUUUCCCUGAUGCCUAAUUCGCUUGUGACCGUUUCCUGCUCCACUGCUACGCGCACCCUUUGCCGAGGUUUCAACUACACUAGCGCCAGCCGUGCGAUGGAGAUGUAGAUGGAAGCCCUAAUUAUAAUCUGGAUUUAUUAACAAUAAACCACGGUCGCAAUUCGUACUUGUAAUAUAGACCUAGAACAAACUACGCUCUGCCAAUAAGUAAAUUUAGUCUCUUAUUACCAACAAGAUAAAUAUACUUAUUAUAGAAAAUACCAGUACGUGGAAACUUCUCACCAGAUAAAAACUACUUAGAGCUAUCAUCACUAUGUGUAUAA